rnacentral:rRNA from 1 species
AUUGAACGCUGGCGGCAGGCCUAACACAUGCAAGUCGAGCGGAUGAAGGGAGCUUGCUCCUGGAUUCAGCGGCGGACGGGUGAGUAAUGCCUAGGAAUCUGCCUGGUAGUGGGGGAUAACGUCCGGAAACGGGCGCUAAUACCGCAUACGUCCCGAGGGAGAAAGUGGGGGAUCUUCGGACCUCACGCUAUCAGAUGAGCCUAGGUCGGAUUAGCUAGUUGGUGGGGUAAAGGCCUACCAAGGCGACGAUCCGUAACUGGUCUGAGAGGAUGAUCAGUCACACUGGAACUGAGACACGGUCCAGACUCCUACGGGAGGCAGCAGUGGGGAAUAUUGGACAAAGGGCGAAAGCCUGAUCCAGCCAUGCCGCGUGUGUGAAGAAGGUCUUCGGAUUGUAAAGCACUUUAAGUUGGGAGGAAGGGCAGUAAGUUAAUACCUUGCUGUUUUGACGUUACCAACAGAAUAAGCACCGGCUAACUUCGUG